rnacentral:tRNA from 1 species
GCCUUCGUGGUGCAACGGUAGCACACUCGGCGCGUAUUCAAGAGGUCCAAGUUCGAAUCCCAGCGAGGGCU